rnacentral:rRNA from 1 species
AAUACCGCAUACGACCGAGAGGUGAAAGCGGGGGACCGCAAGGCCUCGCGCGAUUGGAUGAGCCGACGUCGGAUUAGCUAGUUGGUGGGGUAAAGGCCUACCAAGGCGACGAUCCGUAGCUGGUCUGAGAGGAUGAUCAGCCACACUGGAACUGAGACACGGUCCAGACUCCUACGGGAGGCAGCAGUGGGGAAUAUUGGACAAUGGGCGCAAGCCUGAUCCAGCAAUGCCGCGUGUGUGAAGAAGGCCUUCGGGUUGUAAAGCACUUUUAUCAGGAACGAAAAGCGUUGGAUUAAUACUCUGACGUGCUGACGGUACCUGAGGAAUAAGCACCGGCUAACUUCGUGCCAGCAGCCGCGGUAAUACGAAGGGUGCAAGCGUUAAUCGGAAUUACUGGGCGUAAAGCGUGCGUAGAUGGUUCAUUAAGUCGGAUGUGAAAGCCCCGGGCUCAACCUGGGAACUGCAUCCGAUACUGAUGGACUAGAGUGUGGUAGAGGAUG